UGGAGACAGGGUAUACCCCAAGGGCAUAGUGACAUUGACAGUAAUGGUGGGGGCCUACCCGGUGCAGUUGACCCGUUAGUUAGACUUCCUUGUGGUGGACUGUCUCUUAUCCUACAAUGUCAUCAUUGGCAGGCCCACACUCAACAAAUGGAAAGCGGCCACGUCCACCUACUGUUUGAAGGUGAAAUUCCCAACAAAUAACGGUGUUGGCGAAGUAAAAGGAGAUCAAGUCCUGGCCAGAGAAUGUUAUCAAGUAGUCCUGGCUGCGAAGGAGGACCACACAUGGAUGAUUGAAGAGAAGGACGAAGACAAAAUGGAAGCCCUGGAAAUAGUGGAACUGGCUGAAGGAGAAGCGAACAUGCCGGGCGACGCUAAACCCUGAGAUGAAAACAAAACUUAUCCAAUUCCUUAAAGAGAAUAUAGACGUCUUCGCAUGGAGCCACGAGGACAUGCCGGGCAUAGCUCCAGAAGUCAUCCAGCAUAAGUUGAAUGUGGAUCCGGAGCGGAAACCCGUCCAGCAAAGGCAAAGGGUCUUCGCCCCAGAACGAGAUCAAGCAAUUGCAGACGAAGUUACCAAACUAUUGGCGAGAGGGUCCAUCCGGGAAGUGUACUAUCCUGAGUGGCUCGCGAACGUCGUCCUAGUGAAGAAAGCAAGUGGAAAAUGGAGGAUGUGUGUAGACUUCACUGACCUGAACAAGGCGUGCCCAAAGGACAGCUUCCCUCUACCGAGAAUAGACCAGCUUGUGGAUUCUAUAGCCGGGCACAAGUUACUGACAUUCAUGGACGCUUUCUUGGGAUAUAACUAGAUAAGGAUGGUUAAGGAAGACUAGGAGAAGACUGCCUUCAUCAUGAGUCAAGGACUCUAUUGUUACAAGGUAAUGCCUUUCGGAUUAAAGAAUGCCGGAGCUACAUACCAGAGGCUGGUGAACAAAAUGUUCGGCCAACAGAUCGGAAGGAACAUGGAAGUAUAUGUGGACGAUAUGCUCGUCAAGAGUAAGGAAGAGCUCACCCACCUGGACGACCUGAAGGAGAUGUUUGCCAACCUCAAAAAAUACCGGAUGAGGUUGAAUCCAGGAAAGUGUGUUUUUGGGGUAGCUUCAGGGAAAUUCCUAGGAUUCAUGGUGUCCCAAAGAGGAAUAGAAGCAAACCCAGAGAAAGUACGAGCCAUCAUUAACAUGACGUCACCCAGGACCGUCAAGGAAGUUCAAAAACUCACAAGAAGGAUAGCAGCUUUAAACAAGUUCGUCUCUAGAGCUACAGACAAAUGCCUACCCUUUUUCAAGACCUUAAAGCAGGCUUUCGCCUGGACCGACGAAUGCGAAGCAGCGUUCCAGGAACUAAAGCGUUACCUGAGUAAUCCACCCCUCUUAGGCCCGUCCAAAGAAGGGGAAGACCUAUACUUAUACCUGGCAGUGUCAGCCUCGACAGUAAGUGCAGCCCUGAUUAGAGAAGAGGGCGCGAAGUAGCUCCUAGUUUACUACGUUAGCCAAGCCUUCCAAGGGGCUGAGUCCAGGUAUCCAAGGAUUGAAAAGAUCGCGUUUGCGUUAAUAGUAGCCUCAUGCAAGCUAAGGCAAUACUUUCAGGCAAACCCCAUCCUCGUAAUGACGGACCAACCGAUCAAGAAAUCAAUGAACAAGCCUGAGGCAGCCGGAAGAAUGGUCUAGUGGGCGAUUGAACUUAGUCAAUUUGACAUCGAGUACCAUCCCAGAAUAGCAAUCAAGGCGCAAGCUCUAGCGGACUUCAUCGCAGAGUUCACCCUUCCGGACGAAGACAGCCUUACCGACGGAGUUGAUAGAUGGACGAUACAAACUGAUGGUUCGUCAGCCCAAAGGAAGGAGGGAGUAGGGGUUGUCAUAACCACCCCCGACGGAGAGGUGCUGAGAUAUGGGAUCCAACUAAAAUUUCCGACUACCAACAAUGAAGUUGAAUACGAGGGUAUACUGAUGGGAUUGAGGCUUGGAAAGGCACUUGGAGUAAAGAACCUAUUAAUCCAAAAUGAUUCGAAGCUAGUGAUCGGGCAGAUCAGAGGGGAGUACGAAGUGAAGGAAGAAAGGAUGCAGAAGUACCUCAGGCUGAAGAAACAUCUAACUCGGGAGUUCGAUACAGUGGAGUUCGUGCAAAUCCCAAGAAGUCAGAAUAUGGGGGCAGACGAAGUCUCGAAACUAGCGUCGUCAGAAAAAGGGGAGAUUAGCAUGGAUUUAGCGAUGGAGGUCUAGAAACACCCCAGCAUUGAAGAGGUCCCAACAUUUACCAUCCAGAGCGCAAACAGCUGGAUAACACCCAUAAUGUCCUUCCUUUAGGACGGGCACCUCCCUCAGAACACAGAAGAAGCUAAAAAGGUCAAGAAGAGGGCGGCCAAGUUCACGAUCCUUAAUGACGCCUUAUACAAGAGAGGUUGCUCUAUGCCUUACUUGAAGUGUGUCGAUGAAGAAGAAGCUAGAUACAUACUGGAAGAAAUCCAUGGAGGAGUUUGCGGCGACCGCGCUGGCCCCAGAUCCCUGGUGAACAAGGUAGUACGAAUAGGAUAUUUCUGGCUAACUAUGCAGGUGGACGCUGUUGAGAUCGUCAAGAGGUGCGACAAGUGCCAGUGAUACGGGAAUGUGCAACGGCUUCCAGCAGAGAGACUGACGACUAUAGCCUCCCCGUGGCCGUUUGCACAAUGGGGGAUCGACAUCGUCGGCCCACUACCCCAAGGUAAAGGUCAGGUAAAGUUCCUACUUGUUGCUAUUGAUUACUUCAUAAAAUGGGUUGAAGCAGAGGCUCUAGCAACGAUCACCGAGGCAAGAAUUCGGAGCUUUGUGUGGAAGAAUAUAAUCUGCAGGUUCGGGAUUCCCUUGACGAUUAUAUCAGAUAAUGGGAGGUAGUUCGACAGCUAAGGCUUCAGAGACUUCUGUUCAAACCUUGGAAUCAAGAAUCAGUUCUCGUCCUAGGGGCAUUCCCAGGCAAAUGGACAGAUGGAAGUGACGAAUCGAACGCUGCUCAAGAUUAUCAAAACCAAGCUGGACGAUGUGAAGGGUGCCUGGCCAGAAGAAUUACCUAAUGUCCUGUGGGCUUACAGAACCACAGCAAGAACCCCAACAGGAGAGACCCCCUUCAGGCUUACCUAUGGCAUAGAAGCAGUAAUCCCAGUCGAAGUGGGAGUAACAAGCAUCAGACAAGGGACGUUCAACGAAGGGUGCAAUGACGAUGAACUGCGACUCAACUUGGACUGUCUGGACGAAGUAAGAGAUAAUGCAUCCAACAAGAUGACGAAGUACCAGCUGAAGAUGGUCGAAUACUACAAUAAGAGGGUUAAACUCAGAUAACUGGACAUAGGAGACCUCGUCCUGCGCAAGACCACCACAGCAACUAAAGACCCUACCCAAGGAAAGCUGGGUCCCACAUGGGAAGGGCCUUACCGAGUCAUUCACUACUCAAGACAAGGCAGUUACCACUUGGAAACCAUGGACAGACAAAGACUCCCUCGACCAUGCAACAUUGAGUAUUUAAAAAAGUACCACCAAUAGAUGUAAUAAAUGGAUAUGUUCAUUCUUGAAGUUAAUAAAAGAAUUAUUCCUCUAA